GCUAACCGACCAAAAGGUCUCGUGCUGCAUGCCCCCAAGUCAGCCAGAACCGGCAGCAUCGGCAGAGCUGCUUGUAGUCGCUCUCGUGUGCGCUGAAGUGGUUGCGGCAUCCUCUGGGUUCCGAUCCUACCGUUCUGUGAUAGGGGCUCAGCCGCCGGCUACCAAUAAGAAUGGGAGACGCAUCGCAAGUUUCUGAAGCGCCUGCGUCAGGCGUCGAGAGCUCGGCGGCCGGUUCAGCAGCUGGAGAUAAAGCGUAAGCAUUUGUUUGACCCUCAAAGUGUCAUUAAUGUAAAUCCCAGUGGUUGCGAUGUGGAAUACGUGAAGAAAUUCCGUAGUUGCUUGCAAUCGGCAGAACCAAAUCUGCUGAGAGGGGAGCGGGAGAAUUGAAUCGCCAUUUUGCCACCACUGGUACUGGUUUGGACUUUCUGCAUGGACUUGUACUUUCAACUUUUCAGCGGUGGUGGCGGUGGAGGUGGUGCCAUCAUAAUUGUGGUGGUGGUGGUUCUCCUCCUGGUAGCAGGUGGCGCUGCGUACUUUGUGCUGGGUGCUGGUAGUAAGUAUUUAGUGUUCCAUCUAAAUACUGCAAAAGCUGACUCCCUUUCCCUCCUACGACUCUCCCUACUCUAGAGGGCACGACGACUACUACUGAGGGAGGUGCUGAAGCCGCCGCCCCUGGUGGUGGUGGUGGCGGCGCUGGUCCUAGUGCUCCUCCUGCAGCUGAUACUCCAGGCAAGGAUACUCCCGCAGGCGGCCCACAGAAUGCGACGAACUCAUCAUCACUCCCUGGUGCACCGCCCCAACAUUUCCUCGCCGAUGAGCAAGAAUGAUCAGUGCCUUCAGUGAAUAAACGCAUGCACGCAUAA